GACCUUUACCUGAGCUGUGAAAAUGUUGCAUUGGAGAUGAAACAGACAAAAGCAAAUUCUACUGAGUGACGCUUCUGGCACCUCUGAAUGCUCUCGUGUCCCAUGUGGGAUAAAUGACAUUUCUGCAAUCUUAACAACGUCGGCGUUCAUUACUUAAUAGGCAUGCCUCUUUGACGUGAAGACACAAGCUUCAACUCUAGCCCAAAACUCUGACAAAAUUAGAUUUAGUGAGACGUUGUCUUUUAUUACCAGUGAGAAAACAGAUGGGGAUUCCUUUCCGUACUCAUACAUACAAGACAUAAAGGCUUUAAAAUUCUGUGGAAACACGUCAAAUGGCAAUAAUAACACUUCUAUUAGAUCAUUGCCAAACUCAAAAGAGAAACAUGUGAAUCUGUCGUACGAGCAGAAAGAUACAUACUCAAUUGGAGCUCGUUUUGGAACUGCUUUACCAGUGUCAACAUUUCAAACCAUUUCUUUGGCAAAAACAAAACAAACACACGAAAACAAAAACGCCGUGAAACUUUGGCUCGAGAACACCUGCAGGUGGCUGGAGCAUGUGCCCCGGGCCCGGCUCUGCUACGCGCUCAGCUGUCCCCGCAGAUGGCGACGCGUGUCCGCAUCCUGAGCAAACAGUGUGCGCUCCUGAGCCAAGCGCAGAGGGAGACCCGGGAGCUUCUGCGCAUGCUCGCCGGAGUCGCUUCAGGUCAGGCCCGCCAGCGCCAAAUGGGAUUUAAUCACGUUCCGUGCAGGUUGGUGUUCAAGGCGCAAGUUCGCAGACAGGAAGAAAGCCAUCUGCAGGGACUCUCCUCUACCUCCCUUCCCUGCAGAGGUCUCCUGUGACCACGUGAGGUCGCCUUCCAAGGCCACAGCGCCCAGGGUAUUCAAAGGCUGCGCCUCAUCCCUGUGAGGGUACAUGGCACAUUUGGAUGCGGCCAUGGGCACCUGGGGGCAAAGUGGAGCCGUGGAAAGGACUGGAGCACUUCAGGGAACAGUCCGUGUCUCACCUUGCCGGGACCCAGGCUACCCCUGGACUCUGGUCGUUGCUCCCUCAGCUGCACCCCACAGAGCUGAGAUUCACCCAGCCCUGGGCAGGAGCCAGGCAGGAGCUGCCAUCGUAGAGCGCAGGCGACCCCCCUGCACGGCCCAGGAGUGGUGCUUUUCACUGGUGACUUCACUCCACCCUCAGGACGUGUCAGCGGCUGCCAGAGUCUCCACUGAACGCCACCCGUUAUCUUUGGGACACAGCUACCUUCCUUCCCCG
rnacentral:lncRNA from 1 species